AAGUACAAGUCUUCAUGGGUUUGUUUUUAAAAUCACUCGAGAGGUCUUGUAUGAUUAGAGAUAAUUGUCUUUACUUAGUUCGAUUUCUGUUUUUUGUGAAACUUCGUUUUCACUCUUACCAGUAUGUCACGAGUUACCCUUGACCACAUAUUUGUGCAAACAAUCUUCAUAUUUUAAAGAUUUGUAUUAUACGAAAUAUCCAUUCUCGAUCAGGGGCAGCCACCCAGAUCAUCGCAACAUCAACCCCUACUACAUCUGCCUUUACGAUAUUUACUAUAUUUCGUCUAGCUUUUAUAAGAGUAGGUACUUCCCCUUAGUUGGGUUGGGGGAAGGAAGAGGGGCGGAAUCGAAGAAAUUCUGAGUUUCGACGAUUUAUAUAGAAAAUUUGCCUUUUUCUGUGCCGGAUUUUUCCCAUUCUGUCUUGUUCCCUAGCAUGUUUUUUCACUAUCACAAACAAUUGUUUUUUUAGGUUUAAACUCGUUUCUAAGGAUUGAGCUAGAAGUUCCCUAGGUUUCUAGCUUUAAAAUCGUUCUUGGGAACAAACUUCUAUUAGCAACUUUGACAAAAUAUUGACGGGGCAUUAUGAUUUGAAUAUUGAAUGCUCGUGUCUCUUCCCAUGGCAAUUUCUCCUCCAAUUGGACGCCCUAACCAUGGCUUCCAUCUUGUCAUUUGUUUGGUGUUAAAUUAUGAAAAAAAUAUCUUUGAACUUUGUUCGUUGUUUUAAAAGCUACUUCUAUUUCUUUAAAAGUUAUAAUAUUAACCUGGACCUUUUUUAAAGGUUUCAAACCUACCUUAAAGUAGAAAUUCUUUAGAAUUUUGGAUAAAAACCUGAGAUAUGAAAUGGUGGGGUGUGGACUCUGAACGAAAAUUAAAUCGCUACAAAUUACAAAAAAAAAUUUCCUCUAUCACGAUAGUUUGAACAAAGGGUUAGAAGAGAGGGGAGAGAUGAGAGAGAAAAUAGAGUAAGAGUCUACAAACACAAAAGACUAAUAAAAUUUUUGCAUAAUAGGUAAAAUGCAUUAGUUAUUCUUAUUUUUCUUUAGGCUGUCCCAAAGAACCAUUCAGAAACACACUUGGUUCCUGAAUUUAGUGAUAAAAAAAAAAAAAAAAACAUAGCCCAAAAUUUAUGGAUUAUCAAUGUAAUCUGUUUUUUAAUAUAACUGCAUAACUUGCUAAAGAUUUAAAUUGAUGUCUACCAUUUAGAUAUGUUAGUCGACUUAUCUUUCUUAUGAUCUGUUAUUAAAAUAGAAAUACCUAUGCCUCUUGUGAAAUAUUAGCCACUAUAGUGAUAGAUAACCACUGUACUUUUGUUUUCCUUUUGUGGCUGGAACCGAAGUGUACACAAAGAAACAGGGAGUUUGUGGUGGGGGAUCCCUUGAACAUCCAUGGUCAGCCAAUUAUGUUUCCUCCAAGUUCAGAUAAGUCUUUUUUGUAUGUGGACCAAAAGCUUAGCUUCUAAAUAUGGACCAGGGAAAUAUCAGAGAAGGGUGUGUUCAAGGCAUGAGCUGGAUGAAGUAAACCCCUCUGGCGGGCUGCCUUGUUUCACAUUCCCUUUCAAUUCAUGGCAGGUGCGAAGUGUCCUCCCCUCUCUCCACACAUUUUUCCCCAGUUCAUCAGCAACACAUGAACUAGAAUUGG